rnacentral:rRNA from 1 species
GUCGCACGGGCAGCAAUGUCAGUGGCGGACGGGUGAGUAACGCGUAGGAAUGUGUCCUGAGAUGGGGGACAACGCCGGGAAACUGGCGCUAAUACCGCAUAUGUCCUGAGGGACAAAGCCGCGAGGCGUCUUAGGAGCAGCCUGCGUCCGAUUAGCUUGUUGGUGGGGUAAAGGCUUACCAAGGCGACGAUCGGUAGCUGGUCUGAGAGGAUGAUCAGCCACACUGGAACUGAGACACGGUCCAGACUCCUACGGGAGGCAGCAGUGGGGAAUAUUGGACAAUGGGCGCAAGCCUGAUCCAGCAAUUCCGCGUGGGUGAAGAAGGUCUUCGGAUUGUAAAGCCCUUUCGACGGGGACGAUGAUGACGGUACCCGUAGAAGAAGCCCCGGCUAACUUCGUGCCAGCAGCCGCGGUAAUACGAAGGGGGCUAGCGUUGCUCGGAAUGACUGGGCGUAAAGGGCGCGUAGGCGGCACACAUAGUCAGGCGUGAAAUUCCUGGGCUUAACCUG